AUUGAACGCUGGCGGCAGGCCUAACACAUGCAAGUCGAGCGGAUGAAGGGAGCUUGCUCCUGGAUUCAGCGGCGGACGGGUGUGUAAUGCCUAGGAAUCUGCCUGGUAGUGGGGGAUAACGUCCGGAAACGGGCGCUAAUACCGCAUACGUCCUGAGGGAGAAAGUGGGGGAUCUUCGGACCUCACGCUAUCAGAUGAGCCUAGGUCGGAUUAGCUAGUUGGUGGGGUAAAGGCCUACCAAGGCGACGAUCCGUAACUGGUCUGAGAGGAUGAUCAGUCACACUGGAACUGAGACACGGUCCAGACUCGUACGGGAGGCAGCAGUGGGGAAUAUUGGACAAUGGGCGGAAGCCUGAUCCAGGCAUGGCGCGUGUGUGAAGAAGGUCUUCGGAUUGUGAAGCACUUUAAGUUGGGAGGAAGGGCAGUAAGUUAAUACCUUGCUGUUUUGACGUUACCAAAAGAAUAAGCACCGGCUAACUUCGUG
rnacentral:rRNA from 1 species